GAUGAACGCUGGCGGCGUGCCUAAUACAUGCAAGUCGAGCGAACAGACGAGGAGCUUGCUCCUCUGACGUUAGCGGCGGACGGGUGAGUAACACGUGGAUAACCUACCUAUAAGACUGGGAUAACUUCGGGAAACCGGAGCUAAUACCGGAUAACAUGUAGAACCGCAUGGUUCAACAGUGAAAGACGGUCUUGCUGUCACUUAUAGAUGGAUCCGCGCCGCAUUAGCUAGUUGGUAAGGUAACGGCUUACCAAGGCAACGAUGCGUAGCCGACCUGAGAGGGUGAUCGGCCACACUGGAACUGAGACACGGUCCAGACUCCUACGGGAGGCAGCAGUAGGGAAUCUUCCGCAAUGGGCGAAAGCCUGACGGAGCAACGCCGCGUGAGUGAUGAAGGUCUUCGGAUCGUAAAACUCUGUUAUUAGGGAAGAACAAAUGUGUAAGUAACUAUGCACGUCUUGACGGUACCUAAUCAGAAAGCCACGGCUAACUACGUG
rnacentral:rRNA from 1 species